rnacentral:rRNA from 1 species
GACGAACGCUGGCGGCGUGCCUAAUACAUGCAAGUUGAGCGCUGAAGGUUGGUACUUGUACCAACUGGAUGAGCAGCGAACGGGUGAGUAACGCGUGGGGAAUCUGCCUUUGAGCGGGGGACAACAUUUGGAAACGAAUGCUAAUACCGCAUAAAAACUUUAAACACAAGUUUUAAGUUUGAAAGAUGCAAUUGCAUCACUCAAAGAUGAUCCCGCGUUGUAUUAGCUAGUUGGUGAGGUAAAGGCUCACCAAGGCGAUGAUACAUAGCCGACCUGAGAGGGUGAUCGGCCACAUUGGGACUGAGACCAGGCCCAAACUCCUACGGGAGGCAGCAGUAGGGAAUCUUCGGCAAUGGACGAAAGUCUGACCGAGCAACGCCGCGUGAGUGAAGAAGGUUUUCGGAUCGUAAAACUCUGUUGGUAGAGAAGAACGUUGGUGAGAGUGGAAAGCUCAUCAAGUGACGGUAACUACACAGAAAGGGACGGCUAACUACGUG